CUUCUUCCCUAGCAAUACUCGUUGUUUCAAUGGAUAGCUUUCGAUACAGUGAGAAACCACAGCUUGGCCAACACCCAGGCAUUCAGCAAUAAAAUUCUGGUGCUGUGACUUGGAUUGCAGUGCUUGUGGCUCAGUGGCCACAGGCUAGAGAGAUCUGGAAACCCUCCCAGCAGCUGCCCAGCUAUAUUCAUCCAGAGGCGGGUUUUUGUUUCUCUCUCUUCCCUCACUGCUGCUGGCCCCAACCAUAUUCUUGAUUACUUAUGAAGGACAGGCUUUGAAAUUUGACAUCUGUAUCCAUCAAGAGACGGGGUUUCACCGUGUUAGCCAGGAUGGUCUCAAACUCCUGACCUCGUGAUCCGCCUGCCUCGCCUCCCAAAGUGCUGGAUUACAGGCGUGAGCCACCGCGCCCUGCCACAAGAGGGUAAGGAAACUGAAAUAUGACAAGGUUAAAUGAUUCAGAUGAGGGGCCGGAAAGCACGCCUCCCGAGACCCAUUCCUGGAAGCGGGUCUUUAAAGCUGCUCUCAGUUUAAAAUCAACCAAAUGCUCAGAUAUCAGAUGCGGAAACUGAGGCACAGGGAAUUUGAACAACUUGCUCAAGGUCAUAAAGCUAGAAGGAGGCACAGCCAAGCAUGGGCUUGUGUGACCUCAAAGCCUAUGUUCUCGCCACUGCUCUAAACUGUUUAUUCUGUUGGCUUGUCAUAAUGAUUGAAGACAAUGUAUAUAAAUCACAGAGGGUAGGACUCAGCUUGUAAUAUGUCCUCCAUACAUUUUAUCGAACAUUAUUAAUUAAUAAACAACAGAUAAAUAACAACAGUGCUUUGUUUGAUUAAAUUAUAUAUAUGAUUAUAUUUCUUCAGUGAAAUUGUUGGUUAUGCAUUUCUUACAAAUAAUUCACAAAUAUUAAUGAAUGUCUGUGUUGCAGCAGGCAUUUUGCUCACCACGGUGGACCUGGGGGUAUGUGAAAUAGGCACCAUCUCUGCUCUCACAAAUUUAAUACGUGCAGGCUGCUGGAUUGGACUAAAGUCCUGAGGAGAACUAUAACAAUCUCUUAGAGGGAACAGUGAUUAAACAGGGAUCAAUUGUGCCACCCAUAUAGCCUUCCUACUUACUGAUCAAGAAUGAUAGCAGACCUUAGCAAGUGCAAAUCAACAAGAGGAAUCCAAUGGUGCUAUUCACUACUAUGAAGCUUUUCAUUUUGCCUCUUACUAAGAUUUCAAAGCUAUUCUUGCCCCCCACCCCACACAAAAACAAAUACUGUGCAAUCUCACUUACAUGUGGAAUCUGAAAAAGUUGAACUCGUAGAAGCAGAGAGUACAAUAGUGGGUGCCAUGGGCUGGGGGUGGAGGAAAUGGGAGAUGAUAGUCAAGGGUACAAACUUUCAGUUAUAAGAUGAACAAGUUCUGGGGCUCUAAUGUACACGAUGGGUGGUGAUGAAUGUUUUAAUUAAUUUGAUUAUUGUAAGAAUUACACAAUGUAUACAUUUAUCUAAUCAUCAUAUUAUAUACCUUGAAUAUAUUUGACCUUUAUUUCCCAAUUAAAUAUUUUAAAAUAAAAUAUAUUUAAA
rnacentral:lncRNA from 10 species